UUCGGUGUGGCACUGUUUGUGGUUGAGGCGAGGGAAAAACGAAGACGGAGACAAGAGAACUGCACAGAAUCAAUGGAGGCUUUUCAUGUUUGAAGUAGGGCUUUUUAUUCCUGAAAGCAAAGGAAAAGAGGGGGAGACGGUUUUGGAACUAUGGAGGUUGGUAUGAAGAUCCUCCUGCAUGUCUGCUUCGGAGUCUGAGAUCACUGGAAGCAAGGAAGCAAAGAAGAAAUCCUUUCUGAUCACUAUAACUGGUCUAAAGGUAUGCUUUAAGGUGUUUCACCAGUGAAAGGAUAGAAGAGGGAACGUCCUCAUUCA